ACUCAAUAUCCCUGGUUUUUGAAUAAAUUUAGAGAGGAGGGGAGAUAUAUAUACAAACACAUAUUUUUUUUUUCUUUUUCUGUGUGGAAAAACUUACCCCCUCCCUGUGUCUGUCUCUGUUCUAUGACUAAAGGUUUGAAAGUUACAUCCAGUACCGAAGGCAACGACGACAAUGAAGUUUCCUUUGCAAAUUUUUUCCAAGGAUGGCUAGUACGUCAAGAGCAGUACCUGGAUGAGCUCGUCUCAGCGAGUGAUGUACACAGUGAUGAAUCUUCUGAUGAUGAUCUCAGACAGCUUGUUUCUAGAAUUCUCGCUCACUACCAGCAGUACUACGAGCAGAAGUCGAAAUUCAUCGAGCGGAAUGUAUUCCUCGUCUUCUUCCCCCCAUGGUUUACCUCUUUCGAGAAAACUUUCCUCUGGAUCGCCGGGUUCAAACCGGGACUCGCGUUUCGCCUCGUAGCCGAUUCGAUCGAUGAUCUUUCUGAGAAUCAGGUACUGAGAAUUAAUCGGCUGAUGAAGGAGACGAAAUCAAAGGAGCGUACCUUAGACGAUGAGCUCGCGAGGAUCCAAGAGAGCGUGGGGGCGCCGCCGUUGUUGGAGAACGCAAGACGCGGAGGAAGAAGAUCAUUGAUCCACGGCGAACAAGCCGAGGACUCGGGCUCGGACUCGGACUCGGCUAUGGCGUUGCUCAAGUCAAAUAUGGAAGCCGUUGGAACCGCCGCUGAUACGCUGCGGAUGUCGACGGCGUUGAAAGUUAUGGAAGUGCUGGAACCGGCUCAAAGCGUGAAGUUCUUGGCGGCGGCGGCUCAGCUUCAGCUCCGGCUCAGAUCGUGGGGUUUGGAAUGAAGAGAUGAUAUAUAAGGCCUGAAAACUACGAGAGAGAGAGCGCAAGAGCAAAAAUCAGAAUCCUGAAGCUGCAAUUUUUUAUUAAUGGACGAAUUUGCUGUUUAUGUCUAUAUACCAGGCAUGGGCAAAUCUAAAUUACACAAUGGAUCUAGCACCAAUCGUAGGGAUAGGUUAAUGACAAGUACUCUCUUUCUCUCAUUUUUGUUCAACUUUUUGCUGCACGUGUGAAUCAAAUUUUUAGGAAAUUCUGAAUAAUUUAGGAUGCCGAAAUCACAAUUUAAGUAACUUGUUACACGCAUACUUAUUUCAAUAUAUAUACGUGCGUGCAAUAUAAUAGAUUGUUUAAAUCUUGAUUUCGACAUCUUAAAUUAUCCAAAAUUUCCUCAAAAUUUGUGAGAGUUAUUCUGUAACUAAAGUAUACAUCGUCAUUUAAAAAAAUUAGAGUUACAAUUUAUCUGUAUACCAAAAAUACUGAAAUUAGCUAUCGGUAGUGAUUAAAAACAAUCACUGUCCAAAAAAUUUCAUUUAUAUCUAGGUGGAAGUUAAGUGUAAGUGUACAUG